rnacentral:rRNA from 1 species
UGGGGAAUAUUGGACAAUGGGCGAAAGCCUGAUCCAGCCAUGCCGCGUGUGUGAAGAAGGUCUUCGGAUUGUAAAGCACUUUAAGUUGGGAGGAAGGGCAGUAAGCGAAUACCUUGCUGUUUUGACGUUACCGACAGAAUAAGCACCGGCUAACUCUGUGCCAGCAGCCGCGGUAAUACAGAGGGUGCAAGCGUUAAUCGGAAUUACUGGGCGUAAAGCGCGCGUAGGUGGUUCGUUAAGUUGGAUGUGAAAGCCCCGGGCUCAACCUGGGAACUGCAUCCAAAACUGGCGGGCUAGAGUAGGGCAGAGGGUGGUGGAAUUUCCUGUGUAGCGGUGAAAUGCGUAGAUAUAGGAAGGAACACCAGUGGCGAAGGCGACCACCUGGCUCAUACUGACACUGAGGUGCGAAAGCGUGGGGAGCAAACAGG